GCCUGGGUGGUGUAGUGGUCAGCACACUGUGUUAAGGACGGAGGUUCCUAGGUUCGAAUCCUGGGCUGGGCC
rnacentral:tRNA from 1 species